rnacentral:rRNA from 1 species
AACGAACGCUGGCGGCAGGCUUAACACAUGCAAGUCGAACGCGUGCAGCAAUGCACGAGUGGCGCACGGGUGCGUAACGCGUGGAUAUCUGCCUUUUGGUUCGGAAUAACCCCGGGAAACUGGGGCUAAUACCGGAUGGUUCCUACGGGAUAAAGAUUUAUCGCCAAAAGAUGAGUCCGCGUCCGAUUAGCUAGUUGGUGAGGUAAUGGCUCACCAAGGCGACGAUCGGUAGCUGGUCUGAGAGGACGAUCAGCCACACUGGGACUGAGACACGGCCCAGACUCCUACGGGAAGCAGCAGUGGGGAAUAUUGGACAAUGGGGGCAACCCUGAUCCAGCCAUGCCGCGUGAGUGAUGAAGGCCUUCGGGUUGUAAAGCUCUUUUGGCGGGGACAAUGAUGACGGUACCCGCAGAAUAAGCCCCGGCUAACUUCGUG